UUUUCUUUUUUUUUUUGUGUAUACUACCACCAUGCUCAGCUCUCAUGCGUACUGCUUUCUUUUUCAAGCGAAACCGGAGAGGAGGCCCCUAGCUAUCUGAUUUUUUUAUUAUUAUUAAAAAGAAAAUGUAUAUAUACACUAGCAAAACAAUUGAAAGAAUGUGAUUUAGCAGGCAGCUUGUCAAUAAUUAUUACCUAGAGGGGAACAGGCAUGAUAACAUCUCGCGAAAAGAAACAUGAUAAUGUAUACGAGCUAGGAAGAGAAAGUGGAAGCAGUUGACGAGCAAGGCAAAUAAAAUUGUGAAGAGUACUCCUCCAUUAUUGUGACCUAUCCAUGGUUGAAUUAAUCCUGGCGCGAACCGAUUGGAUCGCCAUGGCGUGCAGCACAUCCAACAAACGUGCGCCCAACAUUUGUUCCACAAGAGAAACAAAAAGCAAACGCUUUGUCCGUUGACAUGUUGUCGCAAAGUGUGAAAAGAGACGCUUGGAAUGAAAAAAGUCACUCAUUCUUGCCACUUUUUGGAGCUGACCGAUCCAAGGUUACAUUGCAAAAGCAAGGGGAAUUCAGCAGUGGUUAGAGCACUUUACGUAACGAGUAUGAUGAGCAUCACUUAUCAACAAAAGUGUGCUAGAGCUCGGCUAGCUUGAGCACCAGCCAUCUUGCCACGUAGUACAAGGUCAGUUGAUGAGCCGCAACUAGCUCUUUCUUUCUGAAAUUUUCUCGCUUUUCUUCACGGCAAAACAAGCACAGGUGUGGUGUCCUGCCAAUGUAUGCAAAAUAUGUGUGUGGUAGUACUCGUUUCACUUUCAUGUACUGCAUGCAUUAUCAUCUCCACCACUCGUGCACCACUGAAAAAAUGAUGGCGAAAAUGAUAAUCCCAUGGAGGCCUCGACACGUGCAAACCACCUCUCGAUUGCCGGUAACAGACGAGUUAGCUCUCAGUGAUUGUUGGAUAAACGGCAAUAUCAUUGGCAGGAGGAUGAUCCAGCACAAUAUUAAUGCCUAUGUAUAGACCCUGUCGGCAAGUGUCGAUCGAUAAGAACUUAGUAAAUUCAAGGCAAAUGUUGAUGAGAACUUAAAUUCAACUCAAAUGCCUAAAAGCUGAUAGGAAAGACGAGCAGUUGACUCAUAUAUACUUCAAAUUACUACUGGAAUUUGCAUCCAACUGGCCAAUUCUUAUUUUAGCAAUGUCACAUUAAUUGUUCGAGCAAGUGUAUACACUCUCUUGACAAGACAAUAAUGUACUCCUCUCUAGCAAGUAUUAGUACUCCUUCCGUUUCAAAUUGCAGAUCGUUUUAAUUUUUUAUUUUAUAGAUAUUACUAUGCAUCUAGAUAUAUAAUAAUAUAUAUGAAUUAAAAAAAUCAAAACGAUCUACAAUAUGGAACGCAAUCGCUAACUGCCCGUCUUGUGAGGGCCUUGUUAGCGGAUACUCAAUCGUUAUUAGGGUUUGGUCAGUGAUUGAUUAGUGAGCAGGAGUACAUUAAUCAAACAAACGCAUAACCUAAUUUUUGCAUGGUCGGACUCCUUUUGGUCGGAAUGAACCACUAACGGUCAGUUUGGCCGCCGCCCGGAGCAGAUCGAUCGGUCGAUCAGUUUGGCUGCAGUCUGCCGGCGCUACCGGACGUCGUACGUGACUGGAUUCGGUCAGUUUUAUAUCUACUACCACUGGUGUAUAUUCUCUGUUACACUAUAAUUGCUCGCUAAUUUGAGGCCUCCAAAGCCCAAGAUUAUGGUGUGGAACCGACACCUUGUCCUGUACUAUAUAUGAAAUAUGUGUGUGUCCAGGCAUGUCGUUUUUAUUUGGUCGAUCUUUAUUUGUUCGUCCAUUUGACAAGCAGUAUUUUUCUUCAAUCGCACAGUAUGGACGCAGAUGCUCACAUACACGCACGCACACUCACCCCUACAAACACACGCACGCAACUAACCUUACUCCUAGCACCUCCGAAAGACUGAGCCGGCAAAUCCUCGAGAUUGACGAAGUCAUCAUUGGCGCUCGCUGUGACGGGCACGUCACCUACCACUGAAAAAAUAGCGCCGGUUAAAUUAUGGAAUAAAUUCAGAAAAAUGCAAGCACAUGUGCUGAGUUGAGGACUCGAAUCCUGGGAUCAUGUUCCACCAGAAGGAGCCUUAUCAGCUGAGCUAGCUCAGUUCGCAACAAUCAAUAUAUUUGUCAUUGCAAACAGAGCUACGGGCAGUUGGUUAAGUUUCUUGCAGUGGAUUCAAGUCUUUCGUGCAUUGAACAUAAUAUUUCGUGCACCUGUUCAUCUAUGCGCGGCGAACCCAGUAAUUAAGCUAGGCAGUGUAGCCGGCGGGAGCGACCUCUAAUAAUCCUCUAUAUUCUCGUGCUUUCCGAUCCGUGGACUAUUCAGGCUGGUCCCUAGGAGAAGAUCACACUCACGCAGGUGUAUCUGUCGUGGCGCCGUACGUGCAUGCAGUCUGGGCAUUUGUUAUUGUCUACGCCGGCCGGGGGACCGUGGGCCGCUGCGGCGGCCGGCCGGCCAACCGACGGCACGCACAUGGCUGCACAUGCAUCACCACCCUGCAAUCGCAAACUCCUCUCCGUGCACGCAAGAUUUUGCUAACCUCCUGCAGAUCGAUCGAUCUCAUUAUUCUACGACGACUCACUGGCCGGAAGAUCGGUCACUCCCUGGCAGUCUUCAGUGCUCGAUCUCGAUCAGUACCACUGCAUGCAUGCAUGCAUGGCAGUGGCUGCAAUUUCUGUGCUGCAGAAGAUUUUGAUCUUAUUCCCCUGACCAUCUAUCUAAUGAUCAUCAUGCAUAGGCUGGUCGGAUCAUGAUGCAUGCAUGGCACCACCGCACCAGAUUCCUCGGCAUGUCGUCGUCGCGUCCGCCGUCUGAUCGCCCCCACUUGAACUCAAGCUACUUUCUCCUUUUCUGAGGAAUCCACAUGGAUCAUCAAUUAUUCUAGUCCAAAAGCCAAUGCUAAAGCAGGUUGAUAAGCUAGAUGCCUGUGUGUGUAUUGUUUAUUGAUCACCUCUUUAAGUAUGUUUCCAUGUAUUAGUAUAGCAAACUAACUAGUUAAGCUGAUCAUCAUGCAUGUGGCCGUUGCAGCUGACAUGGGCAUUUGGUUCUUCUUCUUCUCUCUCUCCUCUUUCUCUCUCUGCACAUUGGCAUAUAUCUGGCCCUACGGAGAUCGAGGUUUUUGGAAUCUUGCGAUCUCAUCCUUUCCAAUCAUCAUCUGAUCGACUCCUCUGAUCAUCCGCUUCCCGGCCGGGCCCACGCGCGCAUGCAUGCACGAAGAUCAUCGCCAUCGCCACCAGAAAAACCUGCCAACUGCCGGCCGGUCGCCGGUACCUACCGGUCCGAUCCAUCCAUCUCUUCUCUCAACUGCUUUCUUUAAUACUAGUAUAUUAUACUAGGAUCAUCACUUGACCAACAAUGGCACAGCACACGAACCCUGCAUUAUGAAUGGAAACUGUUGCAUCUGAAUAUCUGAUCGAUGUUCACAUUUUUUAAUUAAGAAACAUAUGCGGUCUUGAACAUUCACAUGUGAAUAUGUGAAUGUCUAUGACUAUAAAGUAACUAAUUUUGCCACGUAACCAGAAGAUACACGAGUAAUUAGAUUUGAAGCCUCAAUCCGAGGAGGACAGAAAAUAAGAAAGAAAUAAACUAAGAAAGGAAGCUAGAAAGACUGAGCUUCAAACUUCUUUUAUGUCUUUGCUUUGAUCGUUGUGCAACAACAAACACCUCACUUCGAUGUUUACAUGUGACGAGAAGAUCGAUCCAUCGAUUUCCAUUGACAGGUACAGAGAGAAUAAUCAGAGAUCGAUCAUCAUCCCAGUGCAUGGAAGCCGUUGAAUUUUAUUUAUUCAUUUGGUCAUAGACUCAUAGUUAAUUGAGCAAAAGUGCUUGCAGUAUGUGUAGCUAUAUUGACAAUUAUUGGCAUCUGUUCAUGUUGUCAAUCCUGGCGACUCUAUCUAGCUUAAUUUGCCGUUGAGAAAGAGCUAUAGAGUAGUAGUCCACGCCGGCCUGCAGCAGGAAGGUAGGCAGCUACGGUGACAAAAGUUGACUGGCCUACUAGCUGAUGGCCAAUGACCAGUAGUAGUACUGGCCACCGAUGAUUGGUCAGCAGGGAAGAAAUAUGAGAGAGGAACAUGCAAUGUAUGGACGACAGAGAUGACUGAGCAAGCUAGGAGAUCACAAAUGCAAGUUGCGUAGGGCAGUGCAAUGCAAGUUGCAUACAUGCACAUUUCUGUUUACUUAACUUGUCAAUGAAGAAAUAACAUGUUCUCUCUUAGGUCUUAGCUUGUGCAGGUCAGAUGAAACAUGUCAACCGAGGAAAUUGGCUUUCGUGUGGUUUUGUGGUAACAUUCCCAUCGUCCCACGCAUCCAACAACCUAACCCACUACCACACAGACACACUUGUAGCUCGCUAAAAAUCGAGCAUGCAAUGGCCUGCUCCUUGAAUUUUAUUUAUUCAUUUAUUUGGUCAUAGUUAAUCAAUUACUAGUAAUAAAGUACAGUAGCUAUGGUUACAUUAGCAAGUGGUGUUCAUGUUGUCAAUCAUGGUGACUCUUUGCCGUUGAAGAAGAGCUAUAUAGCAGCCAUGCCUGCAAGAAGGUAGAUAUGCUGCAGCCUGCAGGUGGCUGCUAGUAGGUUUAGUGACAAAAGUUGACUGGCUUGCUGAUGGCCAAUGACCAGUAUAGUAGUACUGACCACCGAUGAUUGGUCAGCAGGGAGAAAUGAGAGAGGAACAUGGACACACAUGCAUGUCUGCAUACAUGGACAGAGAUGACUGAUAAUGCAAGUUGCAUACAUGAUACAUGCACAUUUCUGUUUAUUUAACUUGUCAAUCAAAGCAACAUAUGUUCUCUCUUAGGUCUUAGCUUGUGCAGGUCAGAUGAAACAUGUCGACGAGAAAAUUGGCUUUCGUGUGGUUUAGUGGUAACAAUGACAUGCCCGUCGUCCCAGCAUUCAACAACCUAACCCACUACCACACAGUAUUACCUUGCUAAUAUAAAUCGAGCAUGCAAUGGCCCUGCCCGGUAGCUGACAUGGUGGGCCAGAGCCUGCGUGGGCCCACGUGUCAUAUGUACCAAUGGAGGGCACACGAUAUCGAUCGACGUCCAUGCAUGAACAGAUCACAUGGCGAUGCGCCGCGAUGCCCAAAUGCAUUUGCAUGUGUACAUGUGGUUGAGCUUGUGCAUUGCCUGCGAUUGACUGGUUUAUUUCAGUUACACAUGCAUAUGCCCGAAUGAUGCAUGAUUAGAGAUAGUAAUCAGCAAGUGUGUGCACGCAGGACUAAUCAUGGAUUCGUUAAUUGUGGGUGCAACUUGCACUUGGAUCAUCACAAUAUAAUGUGUGGGGAUAUUUUUAAAUGGUGCAAUAAAGAGAAAAAAAAAUAUGCAUGCUUUGCAUCCGAGAUGACAAUCCGCGUGGAUAGACACACGUGUUGUGUCAAGGGAGGGAUGGGAGCGGGAUUUUGAUGCCGCUCUUGACUGACCAUAGCUUCUGUGGUGGCGUGAGGAUGUUCAAUCGAUCCCUACAUGUUUCUAUAGUUGUCAACAAAGAAAGCACUAAUUAAAUACUCCAUCCAUCCAUUCCAAAAUGUAGGUCGUUUUGGUUUUUCUAGAUACAUACAUUUUGCUAUGUAUCUAGACAUAACCUUAUAUUUAGGUGCAUAGCAAAAUCUAUGUAUCUGGAAAACCCAAAACGACCUACAUUAUUUUGGAACGGAGGGAGUAGAUGAUAAAAGAAGAGUUGCCAAAUUAGCAAUAAUCCACUUGUUUUGUAACCAUAUCCCUAGUAGAUGAUUGGCAUUGUCCGGUUAGUCGUUUGGUUAGAACGAUGGGUCAUGCAUUCCUCUUCAUCUUAAUUACAAGACUAUGCAUGUAAGUUGUCCUAAGUCAAAUAUAUUUUUUCCGAGUAUCUAAGAUUCUAGUACAAAGAUUGACAAGAUAUUGCUAGUUAAAGUUUUUAAAAAAUUAACUUAGGACAAACCUAAUUGUACUUAUAAUUGUGAUUAAGAGCAAGUACUAUCUCACUGGGUGUGAGCCUCUUUCUUGUGAUUCUUUUCUAGAGAAACAAAAGGUUGUUAGUUUGUGAUUCAUUAGCGGUUUAGUUAGUUUGUGGCUUCUUAUUGUUGUCCCAAAGGGCAAGUACUGAUCAUGAUUAUAAUGUGAACACGGAUGUGGGCCCUGAGGCAACCUUUGUUAGCUCAAUCGAUCGAUUGAUCGAUCGGCCAUUUUAUUUUCUUGACUAACUUUGUGCCGUUAUAUCAUUGCUAACGAUGAUCGAUAAUGAUUGGAUUAGUUGCUAAACAAAGGAUAACAAUGCCGAACUGAAAUACUUGUAGAGAAACUAAAGAUUGGAAUAUUGUACCUACCAGCUUAUAUCUUUUGAAAAGAAUAUGCAAGACUGCCAAAUCCUGUUAACUAUAGAAAUUGCCAUCGCUUGCUUAAUCGACCGACCCAUCGAUUGAUCAGAUUAAAUGAGAAUAUUUUUGUUGAGAUCAAUAAUUUAUACAAGCUAGAUACGUACUUACGCGUGUUUAUCCAUGCAUGCAUGCCGAAUUUACGUAGCGUGGUUGCCAUGGUGAGAUUCUCCUGCAGGCCAAUAACUCAUGCUUUGCCGACAUGCUUCUUACACCAAACCCAGCCGGCCGGUGAUCUUGAUCGUUCUUAAUUACAUGCAUGAUCGACGCUGAUAGCUGACGCAAGACGUCAGUCACACAAAGCUCCUCGAGGCGUCGUACGUAGUAGGCUUAACUUGCCCAUGUCUGUGUAGUGGUUGCCUUUUUGACUCUUACCCAAAUCUGUCUGUCCUAACACUGUCCAGGCACAGUCCUCAAAAAAGGGGGGAAAAAACACACACACGCUGUCCAUGCACACAUGUAACUCAUGCGUGCUCUUGCGGCAACGACAAGGUGCAUAGCAAUAACCGAUCGACAUCAUUGCCUUGAGCUUUUGACCUGCUGGUCGCCAUGCAUGCAAAUGAUGAAAAUCUGCUGGCCCUCGAUCUCGAUCGGUGAAUCUGUAUUGCGUUGACUGUGAGCGACGGCGAAAAGAUUCGAUCGAUAGACCCGAGACCUUGUUCUUCGUUCCAAUUAUUCGAUCGUGUUCGGUAUGAGCUCGUCGAUCGUAAGCGUGUGCGUCACGACUCACGAGCAUUGGACGCAUGCAUGUGUAAUGUGUUGCUUAGGGCCGUGUUGAUGCCAAAUCUGGACCUCAAGCUUCUGUGUUGAACACACGGAGGAUCUGAGAGAUUUGCUUAACUUCAGUGCAAGCUCCAAAUCAGCUCGCGAGUGGUGCAAGGCGUGUCAGUCAAUUUGACUUGAAAAUUGACAAUGUAAACAUUAAAUUCUUGAGCCGAUCGGCGGCGAAGCCUCUCAAACUCAUGGGUAGACAUUAUUGUAAUAAACAUAACAACAGAUAGAUAUUUAAUGUAAGCAUGCGAUGUAAAUAAAUGAAACAUUAAUGGCAUGUGCCAUAAGGCUAUAUCAGCCGACGGGCUAAGAUAAAGCAUUGUAUCACAACAUCCAUAAAAUGGAGUGCUCAUUGACCACACACUUAUCACAUAAGCUAACAGAUCUAGCCAAUGUCUUGAUAAGUGUAUUGAACUCAGACAAGAAAAUACGAAUGAGAGGGCUUUGGCAUGAAUCUACCAACUUAAAAGAUAAGAACAUAGCAACAAGGACCAGCCGAUGCUGACUGUACAUAAGCCACAUACAUUAACAGAUCAUAAUUAAUGUCUUGAUAAAUGUAUUGAAAUUAGACAAGAUAACACGAAUGAGAGGGCAUUAACCUUAAUCUGACAAUAUAAAAGACUAGAGCACAAUCACCAAAGACCUCUUGCUUACCGCUUGCAAGCUCAUUAAGGUAACAAAGUCUAAUCAAUGUCAUGACCAUGUAAUUGAACUUAGACAAGGUAACUCACUGAGAAGGCAUUAACUUCGACCCGUUAAUCUUUACAGACAAGCUCGCAGAGGCAAGGCCUCGCAUGUGCCCCUAUCGGCUCAAUGAUGUCAUCAUGCUUCCAUGAGAUACGAAUAAGACCCGACCAAACCAUCGGCUCUCAAUGAUAGCACGCUGACGUCAGAGGCCUGACGGUUAGCAAUACGAGGUGCGGGGGUAAAGAUUUAUCGGACCUAGCAUAUAUAAAGUAGUAAAAGCAUGCAGAGUCUACCAGCCGAUACGAUCUGAUAAUUGUGAACGUUUAAACAAGGCAAGGGAGCCGAUGAAGACAACCUAAUCAGAUCUAAACUAUUCGAUAACUUGAGCAACAUCGAAAACAAGUAGAAUGUUGGACAAAGCCUAGAAAGUUCUAUUUGCAAUCUAAGAUAACUCGAUAACUAGCCACACGACAAUAUCAGAAUAUAAGACUUAACUUAGAAAGUUCUGAUAGAGGUCAUAAUGACCACGUGACGGUACUUACAAGCUCGCCCGAGAUCAAAGCUGAUGCAGCCUUACGUGCUAGAAAAAAAUCAUCAAAUCUACUCUACUCCUACUCCUAGGGUUUUGGGGGUGACCCCGAAAGGUUGUAUUGAUUGAUUGAUGAUUAAUCAUUACAAGGCUCAUGGGUUUAUAUUUAUACCCUGAAGCAAGCUAAAAUCCUAGUCGAUUAUGACAUGAACUAUUAUAGGUAGUUCUAAAAAUUAUUAAAGAUAAAUCUCCACGCUUUUCCUUAUUUGGUGGAGUUGAUUUCGCUUCGGACUGGGCCCGCCUGGUCUUUAAUCGGCUUCUGAAACCCUGAUCAAUUGCGACUAACCUUGGUCAACGCAACACAAACUUCAGGCUCUUUUAUCUCUCUUUCAUCGGCUGUCAGAAUUUUAACAGACAAGCUCGCAGCAGCAAGGCCUCGCAUGUGCCCCUAUCGGCUCAAUGACGUCAUCAUGCUUUCAUGAGACAUGGAUAAGACCCGACCGAAGCAUCGGCUCUCAAUGGUAGCACGCUGACGUAAGAGGCCUGACGGUUAGCAAUACGAGGGGUGGGGGUAAAGAUUUAUCGGACCUAGCAUAUAUAAAGCAGUAAAAGCAUGCAGAGUCUACCAACCCAAUACGAUCUGAUAAUUGUGAACGUUUAAAUAAGGCAAGGGAGCCGAUGAAGACAACCUAACUAGAUAUAAGCCGUUGAGCAACAUUGAAAACAAGCAGAAUAUUGGAUAAAGCCUAGAAAGUUCUACUUGCAAUCUAAGAUAAUUCGAUAACUAGCCACACGACAAUAUCAGAAAUAAGACUUAACUUAGAAAGUUCUGAUAGAAGUUGUAAUGAUUGGGUGACAGUAAGCUCGCUCAAGAUCGAAGCUGAUACAACAUUGCGCACUAGAAGAAAAUCGUCGAAUCUACUCUAUUCCUACUCCUAGGAUUUUGGGGGUGACGCCAAAAGGUUGUAUUGAUUGAUUGAUGAUUAAUCAUUACAAGGCUCACGGAUUUAUAUUUAUACCCUAAAGCAAGCUAAAAUCCUAAUCGAUUACGACAUGAACUAUUACAGGUACUUCUAAAAACUAUUAAAAAUAAAUCUCCACGCUUUUCCUUUUUUGGUGGUGUCGAUUUCGCACUGGGCCCGCCUGGUCUUCAAUCGGCUUCUAGAACCCUAGUCAACUGCGGCUAGUCUUGGUCAACACGGUACAAACUUCAGGCUCUUUUCUCCCUCUUUCAUCGGUUGUCAGAACCUUAUCCACAGUGGUUGACUCUGAUAAAAACUGGUGUCAACGGGCCGGAGCUGGAAGAUUGUUGCAUUGCACUGGUCGGCGGCGGCGGCGUGCAUGGUCGGAGUCGGAGCACAUUCUUCAGGCGACCAACUUAACCAACGUGUGAUCGCCGAUGCAUCGCCGUCGCGGAUGGCUACCUGGUGGUGCAAGUGCAUGCAUGGGGGGCGGCUCUGUCGUUUCUUGCUUGGAGAGCUAGCGAGCGAGCCAGCAACUCAGGAUCUAUCGAAAAUAUGGAUGAUGCUGGCCUGUUGACGACCGUUCCUGACCGGAGCGUAGACCACGUCGAUCGACUCGAUCUCUCGCGGUCCGCUACGUUAUUGGACGCAGCAGAUAGCCCUGCAGGUAGAGUAGACAAGUCAAACCCUAGUAAAAAAAAACUAAACGGGUCAACAUGAUGGACGCAUCACUUACUGGGAAGGACAAGCCAAACCCUAGGCUGACUAAACGGGUCAACGCGACGCAGGAAGGUAAAACGUAUACGAGCAAACAAGGGGAACAUACGAGCACGCACGUAAUGCAUGCGCUCAGCAAUCCCGACCUGCCCACUCGUUGGAAACGUGCCAUGAUGCUAUUUUCUGCCGCUCCGGAUAUCUUCUUCAGGUAUAUUAUAUUAUUAUUAUUAUUCGUGCACCGUGCACGCAUGACGCAUCAUGGUGAUCCGGACGUGUCGUCAUGUAUUUUUUCUUUUCCGUUCAUGCAUGCACCUGCGGCGUCUGCAUGCAUGUUUAACUCGCGUGGGGUGGGCCCAGAUGCCUCCCAUUCGACGGAACGGGAAGUUCACUCGGCCCGGCCGGCCCACGACCUCCCGCUUUCGAUCCCUUCUUCUGCUAGCUAGAUAGGCCCACACGACGGCAGCGACGCCUGCAACCGACGACGCCGCUGGCCCCCGGCCCCACGCGGCGCCGCACGCACGUACGGCCGGCAUGGUCGGUGAUGCCCGGGGCGGCGUCUCAGCAGACUCCUGCGGCCGGCCGCGCCGCCACCAAAUAACUCGAUAUACACGGACGAACGAACCAACGGAACGCGCCGAGCGCCGACCUUGAAAUUUUUGGCACCAAGUACGAACGAGUACAAGAACACUACAUAUGUUAGUAUCAUCAGUCGAUUUAAUUGGAUGCGAACUUUUGACGAAUUGAAUAUAUGGGAUAUAUUUGUGCAUGUACGGACGGGUGCACUUGUUUCAUGUGGGAAUAUAUACAUGGCGCACAUUAUUAUCACGUUGUCAAUAUGCUUUUUGAGUGAGCUGUUGGUGGAGUGUCCAUCUCGCUCUUGGAGAGAGAGAGAGAGAGAUUGGCAAAGCUAGCGGGCCUGCUGGGCCAACGCUAUAGCUUCUGUUUGGAUGUCGAUAUUGGAGGGCAUGGAAUUGAAUUGGAUUCAAUACCAAAUCAGCCAUGGUAUUGAAAUGUAAUGCAAUUCAAAUUCUGUUGUUUGGAUGUCAUCGAAUUGGCUGUUGGAAUCUUAAGAAGCAUCGCAAUUCAAUUCAUGUUUGGAUGUACAACGACCACUACUCCAAGUGCAAACUGUGCAAGUACGGCGACCCCUCGCUAUUGCCGCCGUGCAUGGGGUUCUCCUCCUGCCCACCGCUCACCUCGUCGCCCAGCUGGUGGAGCCUAUUGAGGAACAACUCGUGAAGCAGCAUGGAGGGGAGCUGAGCUCCACGGCUUUGACACCUAGAUUCGCCGGCCAUGGAGCUAGAGGCUUCCAUGGCCACCACCACCAAGAACCGUCGCCCAUGGAUACGAGGAGAGCGGUGCUGCCCCUGCCAAAUCCGCGUGAGAGAGAAGAUAAGGGGGGCCGCUGCCAGCGAGGGAGAUGAGAUCAGAAGGGGGUCGCCGCCAGUAAGGGGGAAGAGAAAGGAGGCGCCAACGAGGAAGAAGAGAACGGGGUCGCCGUCGGCGGUGGCGAGGAAGAAGAUAAGGGGCGCCGCUGCCGGCGAGGGAGAAGAGAAGGGGGCCACUGCCGCUGGUGAGAGAAGAGAACGAGGCGCCGUCGCCGGCGAGGGUGUCGGUGUUUUAUACCCGGCAACCUACCGAGGGGUAUCCCGAGGUAGUAGAUUGGUUGGUGGGGGAUUGCCAAACCUGGAACUUGAAGGUAAAAGCGAGGACACAAGACGCGGAUUUAUACAGGUUUGGACCACCAGAGUAGCGUAAUACCCUACGUCCUGUUUGGGAUGUUGUAUAUUGCGCCCUGCGAUUGGGUGUUGUUUGGUGUUGAGGAUUUGGUCCUCUGUUGUGGUUCUACCGAUCUAGGUACCCCUACUCUCCUCUAUAUACUUCAGGGGGCGAGAUUACUAGUCAGUUACAAGGAGGAGUCCUAGUAGGAUUACAUGGUAUGAGUUAUAGUAGGAUUACAUGGUAUAAGUCCAAGUAAGAGGAAUCCUAGUAGCUUAGCUUGAUUCAUGGACAAUUGUCGAUGAAGCCGUGACGGUUGUUGAUGAAGCCGCGACGGUUGUUGUUGAAGCCGACUAGUCGGAGUCGAUAUCGACUAGUUGUCGACGGUGUGAAGUCUGCCUCGACUAGUUUUCUAGUUGAGACGAGUAGUCGAGGUUGUUGCUGGCGUGUCGGCUUGCCGAUUGUAGGGGUUGUCGUGCGAGAUGUUUCAUCUUCUUUGGUACGAUAUUUGGUGUACAUGGCAGCUUCCCUAGUAUAUCUUCCUUGUCCGCGUAGUAAUUUUGCUUGAAUUGAAUUUCUAGCCGCAACAACAGUUCGAUGCUUUGUCCCAUCUUGAUACGUGUGCUGUUACUUGAUGCUUGCAGUUCGGCUCUGAUUCGGACUCCGUCUUGACCUGGGACACGGAGCACAUUGAGACUCCAUUUUGGAUUCUGUCUCGGCGUGACGUACCCCGUGUUUGCAUGACACCGCAAAAAGAUUGACGCAGCGCCCGCCCGCCUUGUCAGAUUCAACUUGGAUAGGGACUGGCGGCUUAUGUGGAUGGAAUUGCCCACGAUCCAAUUAUUUUCCCAAGCUUCUCGACUCUGCUUCGAAUUGGAACUCGGCGACUUGCUUCUCGUGGAGUAGAUUGAUUUUGAAGAUGAGGUCCUUCAAGCUCGCCCGAUGAUCACGACGAUCACCCUUGCCUAGCACGCCAGCUGUCGGUGUUUUAUUCCCCGCAACCUACCGAGGGGUAUCUCGAGGUAGUAGAUUGGUUGGUGGGGGAUCGACGAACUUGGAACUCAAAGGUAAAAGUGAGGACACAAGACGCGGAUUUAUACAGAUUCGGGCUGCCAGAGUAGCAUAAUUCCCUACAUCCUGUUUAGGGUGUUGUAUAUUGUGCCCUGCGUUUGGGUGUUGUUUGGUGUUGAGGAUUUGGUCCUCUGUUGUGGUUCUGCCGAUCUAGGUAUCCCUGUACUCCUUUAUAUACUCCAGGGGACGGGAUUACUAGUCGGUUAUAAGGAGUAAUCCUAGUAGAAUUACAUGGUAUGAGUCCUAGUAGGAUUACAGAAGAAUCCUAGUAGGAGUCGUCUUCUUCCUUCCUUGCGGGUACUAAGGAUCUAUCCUCGACAGAGGGAGAAGAGAAGGAGGCGCUGUUGCCGGCGAAGGAGAAGAGAAGGGGGUCGCUGCCGCCGGCAAGGGAGAAGAGAAGGGGUGUCGCUAGCGAGGGAGAAGAGAAGGAGCUGCUGCCGGUGAGGAAGAAGAGAAGUGGCGAUGGCGGUGGACGUUGGGGUAACGGAUCAGAGGAGGUACGACUGUUUCUUUUCGACGAGGAGGCAAAUUCAGCGUAAAAUGGAGGGGCGGGGCUCGGUAUUGAGGGUGACGAGCUGCCGGUGCGGUGAAUACCGGUUGGCAUUGGACUUUCAUUUCCAAUUUCGAAUUCCAAACCAUCCAAACGGUAGGUAUUGGAGUUAGCCGAUACCAAUUCCUAAUUCCAAAGCUGAAUAUCGACUAGCGUGUGUGAGCUAACCCACAGUGCGUAACGGCAAUAUCCACGCUUAUAAACAAGCAGUUAAUUAACAACAGUAGUUGGUACGUACGUCUAACUUGCACUUUGUCUGCGCCCAUUAUUGGUAACCCUGCAGCAGGUGCUGCAGCUAGCUAGCGACGAACGGAGGGAGCAGUUGCUUUUAGUCGCGCGUGGCGGUGCGAGAGAGAAUGGAGUACAAGUGUGCUGGGCCCCGUCCCGUCACCCGUGCAUGGUGUUUAACCCGAUCAUCGAUAAUCAAGUGCCACGUGGCAGCGCACGGUCGCAGAACCCACAUGCAGCGCACGAAUAAAGCUGAGAAGUUAAAAGAUGUGGCGAGCUGUAGCAUCAGGCACGGGCCGCGUGGACGUACGUUACGCGCAGUGCGCGCGUGCGUUGCAUGGGCCAUGCAGGCACGACGUCGGACGUCCUUCCAAAUGUGUGUCGCCUACUCGCCUGUUGGCUGUUGUGGAUAAGGCGGUGUCGGCCUGACCUGAAACUCUGAAACCAUCAACCAUCACACAUGUACUGUACGUACUCCAGCAGGCAGGCGCGCGCAGUGCCUGCGGAGCGGAGGUUGCCACGUACGCACGUGUCGGCCGGGGGCAUGCGUCAUGUAGCUGUGUGCAUCUAUACCAUGCCACGUACUGUUGUGGAUAAGGCGGUGUCCUGCCGGGGCGGCAUGUGCUAGCUUGGCCGAUGAAUGCACGCACCUUCAUCCUCUUUGGAGUCGUGUCGAGAAAAUAUCCAUUUGGACCCGCCCGGCCAGCUGGUCGAUCGUCGAUCGUGCUCUGCUCGCCCAGGCUUUCGGCCAUGGCAUCAUAUGUCUCCGGUCUCGGUCCACCAUGCAUGCAUGCACGUACGAUCCAUCGAGUGCGAGCCCUCAUCGGCCGGCGCACACAUGUGUAGAGAUAAGAAGUGGAUAAGCCUCGGCCGGCAGUUGCUGCACUGUGCAAGUACGUGCGUACAUGCAUGCAUGCAUCCCAUUGGCUCGUACGUGCUACGCUGCCAGCCAUAGAGCCUUUCGGCACACCAUAGUCAGCGUGAAAAGGUGACAAUAGGUACGCAUGGCAGCGUAGAUACCGAGGAGGAGUGUUAAAGGCUGAUGGAUACUGUUGGAUAGGUCAGUCGAUCUCUGUUUAGUUUAUGCCAAGAGUGCCCAGACGACUUUGCAGGACGUACGGCGGCCCUGCCCGGUGAUAGCUUGCUCUGCUAUGCAUAGGUCACUGGAGCUCCUGAGGCCUGAGCUCAUGUCGCGCGCGCCAAUGAUACGGAGCACCGCACCGUCGUCUCCAGCCACCACUAGUGUCUCUUUGUGACACCAAUUAUGCGCGCAGCUGGGACUGUUGGUCAGUCAGCAUUGACCGACCUCCAAGCUGGUCCAUUAUUUUUGUUCAUGCCAUGCAUUGCAGACCCUUGGCUGAGAUCGCAAACCGACGCUGCCAAGUUGCUCUCAGGUGCGAUUCGAUAGAGUUCCCAAAGCUGAUUCUCUGCUGGAAUCAGCAUCUCUGCCAAAUAUUUUUUUAAAGAGAAGUUAUUCUUUGCUGAUUCUGGAAAAUGAUUCUCUAAAAUGAACUAAGAGGCUGGGAGCUGAAAAAAAGUAGCUUCUCCUAAUUUUGUGAGGUGAUUCUCCAUCCUGAUUUUAAAAAUUUAUACUAGAGAAUCAAAGAGAAUCACUAUUAGUACAGUACAGAAUCACUUCUCUCAGAGAAUUAGCUUCCAUUCCAUAGAUAAUAAGAAUCGACCAAGCUCUGCCGAACGAACCAUAAUGGGUGUGGAACUACUUAUACAGAUCACUGUGCUAUACUACAAUCAUGUGCAAGUGGGCUGCAAUGUGUGGAAAUGGAUCGCUGCUGCGUAUUAUGAUAGGGUGGGCUCUAAGAUUGGGCCUGCCUUUUACUGCUUACUCUCCUUCAGCGGCAGGCAACUCACUGGGCUACAAUGAUGUAAGGCCUGCUCCCCCAUCCCAUCCGUCGUCCGUCAUCGUACUCGCACGCUACUGGGCCGUCGAAUCGCUCUCCUCGCGCGCCCACACGGCCCAGCACGCCCGCGGCGCGGACCACGGCGAGGCACAGCGCGCGCGGCACGAGACACGACGACGAUCCCGCCGUCCACUCCCGCCCGCAGAGGAUCCCGACGCCGCACGAUCUCGCCUCGUUUCCCCACCCAGUUCCCCCGCCGCCGGUUUUCUCCUCGCACGCAACGCAAGUCGUCGCCUCCGCCCCGCCCCGCAGCCGUGCCAUCGCGCGCAAACCCCGGCGACCAAACCCUCGCCGCCGUCACCUCAUCUCCCCCACUCCCACCAGGCGCGCCGGCGGCGAUGGACAUCCGCCGCCCGCCGCCGCGCUCCUCGUCGGGCGGGGUGGAGCCGCGGUUCCGCCAGGUGGGCUUCGUCACCUCCGCCGAGCCUGGGCCCGCCGCCGCCCCGGUCCCCGCGGCGCCCGCGGCGGCGUCGCCGACGGCCUCCGACGGGCUCUCCCCCGUCAUGAUCCCGCCCCCGCUCAUCCCCGACCACCUACCCGUCCCCGUCCCCGCGUCCGAGUCCCUCAUGCCGUCCUCCCCGCCCCCGCCCUCGUCGUCCCGCAUCGACGCCGUCUCCGACCUUGACGACGACGAAGACGACGACGUCGACGUGUCCUGGGCGCGCCCGCCCCCGCCCGCCCUGCCUGGUACAGUACACCUAUGUGAUUCCGCAACUUUGCUGUCUACCCAACGCGCGAUUCCUAUGCUUUUGAGACGGUUGUGUAUCAUUGUAUCAUUUUUGGAGGUAUUUGCAACAUUUUGCAGUUACAUACAUAGUUGUACUGCGAAACACUAGUAAUUGCAAGGUUCCUGUGUGGGGAAAAAGGUUACUGACGCAGGGCAGCAUGAUUGUAGGAGUAUAUUGUGUUGGUCAAUGGUGAAACCUAGUUGCUUCAGCCUGACUGACAGUUGCUGUUUGCUGUUGUUAAAGCCAGUAGCAUGUUUGGCAAAUUAGUAUCAUGUUACCUAUGAAGAUUAAAGUCAGAGAUAUGGUCGUCAUAGAGAUAGUAGUGAAAGUCAGACCAAAUUUCCAUGCAUGUUAAGCAAUCAUUCGGGUUUUUAAUGAAUCAUGAUGGGGAUAUAUUACCAAAUAGUCGCUGCUGAUAGCUAUCAAGACAGACUAUGAAUCAUUUGUUCUGUUUUAAAUAUGCAAUAUUGCCUGUGUGCAUGUGCAGUGUGUAUUGUGGAAAAUGGUUUGUGUUGUAUGAUCAGCCACCUUUUGUUUAGUAUGUAGUAUUUGUUAACAAUUCACAUGCUUGCUACAGAUUUUAAAGUGCAUAACAUUUUUAUCCGCAUUUGAUUUCAAGAAUUACUUGUGCGCAUGAAUUGAAUAAUUUUCUUCUGUUAUUUGUUUCAGAACCAAACAAGAGAGACCUCAUUGAAACAAAGAAUGAAGGCGAUCCUACUUCAGUUCCACAGAAACCAAAGCUCUCUAAAGCAGAGAGACGUGCUAUCCAGGAAGCUCAGCGUGCCGCCAAAGCUGCUGCAAAGGAGGCAGGUAGUUAACUUGUUUUCAUUAUUUAUGUUAUCUGAUUGUCACAGUGAAUAUAUAGAACCCACAUAAGACACUUAACCUGGACCAGCUUAUCAUGGAAAUUUGAAAUAAAACUAAGGAAGUAUUUUACUUGAAGAAAAGAAUGAGGAGUUUGUUUUGGAUGGAAGGGCUGCGUGCUAUGGUUCUAAUUCGGAUUCAGAGUGACUCACCUGGCCUGUUUGCAGAAAUGAACUUUAUGUCUCUCUGUGAAAAUUGCAGGUUUAAAAUCAACAGCCAAGGAGUCAGAUGUGAACACCAAAAUAUCAAAGCAACCUAAGGCAGGAAAGGCAUCUCUAAAGAAAGACGUGACCCAAGUUAACCCUCCAGUUGCUUCUGAUAAAAAGACGGAUGAACGCCCACCUGACAAAGAUAGAAAAAAAGAUCUUCCUCAACCCCGUAUGCAAUUUGAUGAUGUACACCGGGUGGUAAAAGCAAAAAAGCGUUCAGUUGUGAACCAAUCAGAAGCUCAAAACAGAGUUGAACUGUUCAGACAUCUGCCUCAAUAUGCACAUGGCACUCAGCUUCCUGACCUUGAGUCCAAAUUUUUUCAACCUGAUCUAAUGCAUCCUUCUGUGUAUAAGGUAAUUAUUAACUCUAACUACAAUUCUACCAAUACACUGUAAAUAGUUCUCUUCAAAUAAAUUAAAAAUAAAGAAUAUAGUGAGAAACCUUGAAAUGGUGAUUAAUUCCAUCCUACGUUGCUGAUUCUGUGGACAAUAGAACUGACAUGAAACAGAUAGGUGUAAGCAGAAUUUUCUUUUUCUUUUCGUAUGUAUUUGAGUAGAGUACUUAUCUGAUAGGACUGUUUAAUUGUUUGUUGUUAUGGUGAACACCAAGUAGCUUAUGCCCCCUGGGAUAUGUUUCAGGUUGGUCUUCAAUAUUUGUCUGGUGACAUAUCUGGUGGCAACGCUCGUUGCAUAGCAAUGCUUCUUGCAUUCAGAGAGGCAAUAAAUGAUUACUCCACGCCUGCAGAAAAAAUUCUCAGUAGAGAUCUUACUGCUAAAAUCAGUAGCUACGUGUCAUUUCUCAUUGAGUGCAGGCCUCUUUCAAUCAGCAUGGGUAAUGCUAUUAGAUUUUUGAAGAACAGGAUUACCAAGCUACCACUUGCAUUGUCAGAGUCAGAAGCUAAAGCUAGUCUUCAAUCUGACAUCGAUCGCUUUAUAAGUGAGAAGAUAAUAGUUGCAGGCAAGGUCAUUGUUAGUCAUGCUGUCACAAAAAUCAGAGAUGAUGAUGUGCUAUUGACAUAUGGGUCACCCUCUGUCGUCGAAAUGAUUUUUGACCAUGCUCAUGAACUUGGAAAGAAAUUUCGUGUUGUGGUGGUAGAUUCUCGUCCAAACCUUGAGGGACAAGGAUUAUUGCGCAGAUUAGUUGCCAAGGGUAUUAGCUGCACAUACACACACAUAAAUGCUGUAUCAUACAUCAUGCAUGAGGCUACAAGAGUGUUUUUGGGCGCCUCUUCAGUAUUAUCAAAUGGUACUGUCUACUCCAGAGUCGGGACAGCUUCUGUAGCUAUGGUUGCACAUGCUUUUGGAGUUCCUGUUCUAAUGUGUUGUGAGGCAUACAAGUUUCAUGAGAGGGUUCAACUUGAUUCUAUAUGCUUCAAUGAACUUGGUAUGCAAUUGUUGCUGUUUUUACUAAAGGUUAUUAUUUGAUUAGUCUACUGGUAAGGAACUGCAUGAGACAUGAUAUGCUAUCUACUCAGGUGACCCAGAUGCUAUUUCAAGAGUUCCCAGGGGUGAAAGUUUGAGUCAUCUCAAAAACUGGGCUGAGAACGAAAAUCUUCAUAUUCUGAAUCUUAAGUAUGUCUGUUUUUUCGUGCAGUGCUGUAGUUCAUAAUCCUUUCUUAAUAUGCGUAUAAUCAAAUUAAUUCAUGAACCUGCAGGUAUGACAUCACCCCUUCUGAUUAUGUUUCAAUGCUCAUAACAGAUUAUGGAAUGGUAAGAUGUGCUUCAGCUUCUCAUUUAACUCUUUGUGUUUACAAGCAAAUUGUAUUACAUUCAUUCUAAUUGCAGCCAGCUUAAUGCUUCUAAGUUCUAACAGUUCAGUGUGAUGUUCCUUUUACCGUAUUCUGAACAAGCUGUCAACUGGAAAGGGGAUUUUUUUUUUGAAACACUUUGAUUUUACAGAUUUGAGCUGCAAAUUUGUCUCUCCUUUUGAACACAACCUCAUAAUGUUAGCCAUAAUAAUAACAGUCCCUUUUCCAUUAAUUUCUUCAACUGAUUAUUUUUACUUGCUAAUCACAUUUAGUUAGUUGAUUGCAUUUCUUGUGCUGUACACAAUGUGCAUCAUAUGGAUGAAGUAUAAGCCCCACAUUAAAAUUUGCCAUUAUGAAAUGUAUAAUCAUAUGUCGAGUUCCAGUUAAUCAGGUGCAUGCGAAGAUGCUAAUUAGUUACGAUGUGGUACCCUUCCUACAAACACACAUAUUCUGGUUGUUGCAACCCUGCUGUAGCAUCGGUAGUUUACUACUAUUAUUUACUGAGCGAUGUUUUUUUUCCCUUACAUUUUGAAAAUAUAGAUGCACUAUUAUGUUUUAUGAUGCAUGCUUCGUACUGCAUGAGUGGUGAUCAAGACUGAUGUGGAGAACAUAUUCGAAUCUAUUUACUUAGAUUAGUUGUCAUUCCUCCAUUAUGAAAGCAUUACUAGUCUAUUUAGUAGACUAGCAUGCCCGGUUUUACUCUAUUUUCUUAGGAUGCCUUUUUGCCCAUAAGGCCAUAACUAUUCGGACACAUUUAUUAUGUUAAAAUUUCUAUUGCAAGCAGGUAACCUAGUGAUAAAAUAUCUUCAUAUUGUUUUCUUUGCAAUAUUUAAGUUGAACUGUGUGCCAUUUGAUCCAUCGAAUUGAUAACAUAUUUUUCUGUCACAGCUCCCACCUACUAGUGUACCAGUCAUUGUACGAGAGUACCGCAGGGAGCACGUAUGGAUAUAGAAGCCACAGUUUUCUUUUCUUCUUUAAUUCAAGGUAUGAUAAUUUAAGCAGGUUUUGCUGCCUUAGUGGGAAUAGUAGGGUGGUGGUGUGAGCAUAUGUUUAUAUUUCAUAGCAAACAUCAAGUGGUUUGUUCUCUCCUGUAAAUCCUUUAUAUGUUGAGUUAAAGUAAUCCAUUUUUUGCAUUCGCCAUUGGUAAUGGGAACAUAAACUAUUACUCUGUCCAACAUAAUCGAAGUUUGAUACUAUUCUCUUAUUAGUUGUAAUUUUGUAUCAUACGAGCAUGCUUCACUAUUCUCUACCAUUUUCUCUAAUUUUCUCACCGUCACACACAACAUUUUAUCCAAUGAUAAGCACCUUCAGAGGAAUUGUUUCGGGCAGCGAUUUACCUCAUGUCACCUGGUGAUGUUUUUAUUUCCUUUUAUUUGAAAUUCUGUAGUGUUCAUCACCUGCACUGCACAGUUGGUCGGUUGCACUGACUUGGAGUACUUAAAUCAUUUAGGCUUGUUUCAAUUUCAACUUCCUGCCAGCAAGGAUUGCUGUUUUGACUGUACGUAGAACGGGCCACGGAGCAGAAGCCUUACAUGUGCACAGAUGCUAAAAACCAAGCAGCAUUGUGUUUACAGGUUUUGCUCAGCCUAAGAAAAUCAGUGUUCUUGGUGUCCAAAGAUGGUUGAUUGGUACCCAUAUAAUUGUUAUCCUCGACUGAAGUGACCAAACAUGAAUUAGCACGAAUAAUCGGUUUCAGUUCAUAAGUCCGACCCUAGUUCUGCGCAUUUUGCCCCCCACACCUCCACCUGACCCUAUUUACAUUUUCUGGAAACGUCGUCAUUAUGUCAUCAUUUGCAAUCUCUGGUCACCUUUCGGUGCUAUGCGCGAACACAGGCCUCCUGGCUCCUGCCACCAGCAAGAGAUGCCCAGCAGUGCAGCCAUUGCCCACCUCAAUGUUGAUCCACAGCAACGGAUCCUACACUUGAUAAUAUCAUGUCUACGAGCUAGAUCUAUCUCCCUUAGUUGUCUUAGAGCUCAUCCAAUCAUCUAACUCGAGCUCGACUUGACUUCCUUUUGGCUGCUGGUGCUGUGGAUCACUGCAAUUGUGCAGUUGCUGUUGGAUGGAAAGCGAUUUAUACAUGGUCCUUGUUUAAUGACAAACACUAAUGGGCAUCUUUGGUAGGGCUCAUUGCCAGGGCGCUCGGCUUUAACGCUGCCUAUUUUCAGCUUGCCCGGAGCCAGAGGAGAGCCCCAGCAUUGUUGUCGCCUUGCUACGCCGAUCGGGACCGUCGUCUCCGGCAGGCAGCCGUCGGUCCCCGGGACAGGCGCCUGUCAGUGAACUGUCUGGAAACGUGAUGCACGACUGAAUCUCUGAAAGCCUGAUAUUGUUGCUGCCACUGUUGGGCGUCCAUGUCCUGGAGCGUGCCUUGCCUGGGCCUCUGCUCAGACAGGAUCUUCAGCUGGAUCAGCACGAGUAGACGACGACAUGAUUGUUCUCGGGGAAGCUCUCCAACGACAGUUUGCCCAUAAGCUAUUGGAUUUCUUUAUCUUCUCCUUUUCCAUCUCGUGUCAACUUGGCAAUGGCAACCAUAUUUGUCAAUUUGGGGUCUUGUUGGCGUCCAUCUCUGCCCAAGCUGUUGGGAGCAAAGGUCUGCCAUGGCAGCUCCCCUUGUUAAUAUAAUCUGACCGGAGGAAAGAACUAGACGAGACCCUGACAAGUGGUCGACUAUUGUCUUGCAGAUUGCAGAUGUAGCAACAUGUACGCUGCAUUUUCACAUGUUCUUUGUCCAUGAACCUCCAUGGAACUCGAAUUUGUUUUUUUUUCCUCCGAGGAUCCAAAAUUCGCUUGUAAUUGUUUUUAACUGGUUGUAAAUUUGAAAGUGGUUUCAGAACCAAGGUCCUGGGGAUCUCCCAGAAGUUGAAAAGCUUCUCUCGUUUCUCUGUUCAAGGAAAGCCAUCCCUACCUUUUUUCUGUUGCUUUCCCAGCCACCUGCUUCAUCCAACUCUGAAGAGUUCCUACCUAGGCAUCUACACUGUGGAGUUCAUGGCCGCUGUUGCUGUGCCACCCAGCAGCAGCUGACUUGUGAACAAGACUGGUACGGCGUGGUGUUUGGUGAUUGAAUGAAUAAUGGUUUUGCCGAACAAAGAUGCUCACAGGCGCAAGGAGACGUGGAUGAUGAGGGAUCAUGCUCAUGCAUUACAUUAUCCAUUCAUCCUCUGCCUCUCGUUGGCUUUGCCUUCCAUGUUUUCCUCUGGGUCGAGCCUCGAAUUCGUACUGUUGGAGAGGCUUGGGCUUAUUAGAUGGAGGUGCUGCAUCGGCCAAAACAGGUAUGGUGUGACCGCUUGUCUAAUCCCCAUCAAUUGAUUACUAUGUGGUACCUGCAUGAUGCGUCGGGGGUAGAUGUUACCAAACCAGCUGGGAUCCCUAUUGUUCUGUCUAUCCUCGAUCGAUCUCCUUGGACAUCCUCAAACUGUUUUUUUGGUACGUUAUUAGAGAUACAAGUGUUCACCUAUAUUCAUCUAUAUGGACACACAUAUAUGCACAUCCAAUCUUUGCAUGGUCGUCUCAUUAUCGAAACGCAAGUCUACUACUCUCGAAAGAAGAAUUAGUGAUAGAAUUGUGAAAAUCUUUUUUUUUUCAAAACGAACCGGGUAGUAGAGCUGCUGAUUAUAUUAAAAAGAAGAGGGAGAAUUGUGAAAAUCUUGAUAGUCCAAAAAAGUUGAUGGUUGUUUGACUUUAUUAUGUUACUUAUACAUGUGGAGGGUACUGUGAUAAUCUAGAUUGGUAAAUUGUAGGGGUUGAGAAAAAGAAUCUGCCUGUUCCUUCACAAGUCAGCUUAUAAAAGCUGCCUUUUCACAAUCUGAAUUUGAAACAAAAAAAAGGACCUAACCUACCUGCAAACUCCAUAGCACGCCUACCAAGGCUCAAACCCGGCCGUAUGCUUGCAUUGCAUACUGGUGGACAAUACUCAAAAGCCUUUUACCAUCUUUCAAAGGAUAAAAAUCAUCGAAUCUUAGAAAAACAUUGUAAAAGUACCCCAACCAUUUUCUCUCCAAAGUAUCACCAUGUACACCUACCUGAUCAAAGUUCAUAGAUGCUGAUGUGAGGAGAGAACAUGGCCUUGGACCCCUCUCAUCAUCAAAGGCAAAGCCCAGCAGUAGUUUUCACAGGUUUUGUUGGUUCCUUUACCCUUUGAGAUCGAAACCGCUCCUGUUGGGGUUCCCUAUUAUGUGCCGACACCACGCGGCACGCUCGCACGUGCUCCUUGGUAGCUGCCCCUGACCAAUCACACACUUCACAAGCCUGCUCUCCUUGGCCGGACAUGCUCACAUGAACAUUCGGGUUUGGGGCUCCGGACGUGACGCGAGAAAGGAGAAGAGGUCUGAAAGGUUGCGAAAGACCAGUGCACAUAUGCUCUGUGUUCUUCCUUUUCCGCUAACGACGACCACCUCUCAACUUUGCCGUACGUGUCAUGGCCAGUAACGUUCCUCUGUUGAUGAUUUUUACUACUGUGUCACGUAAUAGAAAAAAAGGAUUAUACAUUGUUCACAUCACAAAGCAUGCAUGCAUGGGAUCCACACACUAGCUAAGAAUUGCUUCUUUAAUCACUGAUAACUACUGUCCCAACUCCCAACUAGUGUGAUAUGCUCCAUGCUCUACAAUGAUGUGUACUGUGCUCGGAAAGCUGAUCGACAAUGAGAGCACGAGCUCGACAUUUUCGAGUAAACUUGCAUUGGAAAAUUAGAGAUUGGCGAUGGUAACGUCAUGUUUUACACGAAGCAAGAACGACUGAGCCAUCUAUUAACUUACCCCAACCCAUAAUUAUUUUUCACAUGUUACCAUAUCACAUGUCGUUACCUAUGUAUAUUUUGUCCAUGGCAAGUUUGGAACAUCACAUGUGGAGGACCUGCAACUACACAGUACAUGAGUGUGAUAUUGAUUACCACCAACUAUGAUCUCUGUGGCAAUGAUCUCGAGCUCCUUUUGGGUGAGAGUAAGGGGGUGUUUGGUUCUUAGUCCGGACUAAAAUUCUUGUCACAUCGAAUAUUCGGACGUUAAUUAGAAGAACUAAACAUGAGCUAACUAUAAAACUAAUUACAUAUAUUGAGGCUAAUUCACGAGACGAAUCUAUUAAGCCUAAUUAAUCCAUCAUUAGCACAUGUUUACUGUAGCUCCAUAUUGUCAAAUCAUGAACUAAUUAGGCUUAAUAGAUUCGUCUCGCAAAUUAAUCUCCAUCUGUGCAAUUAGUUUUAUAAUUAGUCUAUAUUUAAUACUCCUAAUUAGUAUCAAACAUUCGAUGUGACAUAAAUUUUAGAAGGUCUAAAGAACCAAACACACUAAGCACCAAACUUGCUUGUCGUCUUUCCCAUGGCUGUUUGGCGUGGGCCCCACCGUGGUUGGGCGCAGUGUUCACCCUUGCAAUAAUGCGACUUCAGAAUUAGGACAUGGUGGGCUUGCCAUUUCUGCCACAAUCCUUGGCUAUCCUUCCCUAUUAUAUACCUCCUCCGAUCCGAUCCUUCACAAAAAUCAUAGCACACUCAUUCGCCAUCCAGACCCAACAAGAGCUCAAGCUCAGGUCGCUCAUGGAAGCAGCAGCUCGCACCACCCUUCUCCAUUGAUCCUAGAGCGCAGCCUCUCUCAAAGAAGCUUCAUUUCAGACAGAGCUCGCCGUGCUCUCCAAUGGAGGCGCCUCCUUCAUCUCUAGCCACGGCCACCUAUGACGACGACGACUACAUCGUCAACCUGUCGCUGACGCUGGGCCCGACCUCGCCGCAACCCUCCUCCCCUGACCAUGCCGCCGCGAUCGCGGCUACUGGUGAUGGUGGUGUUGAUGGAGGAGGAGGUGGUGGCAGCGGCAGAGGUGGUGUCAGGCUCUUCCCUUGCCUCUUCUGCAACAAGAAGUUCCUCAAGUCGCAGGCGCUAGGGGGACACCAGAAUGCACACAAGAAAGAGAGGAGCGUCGGAUGGAACGCUCACCUCUACCUCUCGCCGGAGACGUCCACCGUCCCCAGCAUAGUUACGCCGAUCAGCCAAACAUCUCCUAUGGUGCCCAUCCAAGUCUCGCACUCGUGCCGUUCCCAACGCACAGUACACCGCGAUGAUGCGGCAACAUUUGGAGGGCCUCGUUACGCCACGGAUGGUGAUGGUAGUGGUUUAUCAGGGUGGUGGUAUGCGGAGGGCGGCCGAUCGUGUACGCUUGGCGGGGACGAGAAGCAGAGGCAUGUUGAUCUCAAUCUCAAGCUCUAGCUACCUACUAGUACUGAGUUGCUCAUGUUGAAUGCGUGAGGUAUUAUUUUGUACUUUUGAUUUCUCUUUGUUUAUUUUUGUUGCCUUUUUUUUAAAACUAGUGUGUAAAGUACGUACUUGUGCCGAUUGCACAACGGUUUAUUGAAAAUGUUUGUUCUCAAGCUGUUGUCCAGUUGCAUGAUGCUGCCUCUGCCCUGCCUGCUUGGGGUACAGUUUGUUGGGGACUGGGGCCAGGGAAUUGUGCACACUUUGGAACACAUGUGUAAUGUUUUAAGCCAAUGCUUCUAUGGUGUUUGGUUAUUUUACAGCUGCAAAGCUUUCAGUUUCUGAUUGCGGAGGCUGGAACAUUUUCCUUAAUCUAAAAAAUGGUGUUUGGUUAAUUUAGUAUGUGAAAUCUACUGCCAAUGCUUUAUUGAUCUCUCCAUUGAGCUGUCGAUCAAGAGCUUCUCAGUCUUCCAAGUUUCCAAGAAGUACCCAAUUAUCGUGGACUGAAGAAUGUUUUUGACAGUUGUCACAAAAGUUUUGCCUGACCAGGUAAUAUUUGGUAACAUGAAAAAAAAAUGAUGGUGAAUAGGGCGCACUGUUCUUGUGGCCUUUUCUUGCUGGGAUUCCGAUGCGUUAGUUGAUGCUUAAAACUUGGGAAAUACACUUUCAUUUCACUAGUUAUUGGAUUCUCAGUGAGUUUUUGUAACAGUUAUGAAAAGGAAUUACACGGACUAAAAAAAUGCAAUUCAACUUAACAGUAGCAGUGCUUUUCAGAAGGUCAACACUGUGGGUCGGACAAUUAUGGAACAUCGUACGUUGCCAUUUCCUUCCCAAAGAUCUACUCGAUACGUGGGCCCAAUUUUGCUGGAGCACCAUUCAUGUGUCGAGAUUUCAUCUGUGCAACCUAAUAUUUAGACAUGACACAAAUUAAUCGCUUCACUUUCACAUUGUUAAGUCAUUUGCUAUCAUGCAUGCAUGGACACCAUGCACGAAUAGUGCACAAACCAUUACAUUUUUUUUUCUCUUUUUUCCUUGGAAAACAAAACACGCUUCUUCAAUAAAACUUAAGUAGUGAAACUGAUCAACAACGACUCACAUAUGGCGACGCAAGUGCAUUACUACGAAAAGCGCCACAAGGGUGACAAUGCAAGAUAUCACAAUUGGUUAAUCAAAAGAAUGGAAUGUGAUAACAUUAUCGUCCACAGUCUCACCAAGAACCAUAACUCGUACCAGGUGGAAAGACUAGAGAUUUCAUGAACAGUUUUAGAAACAAACCGUUUGUAGUAAGUAGCCAGGAAUCCCCUUUUUUUUUCAUUGUCAGGGGGGGCAGCAGUGCUAAGUUUGCUCAAGAUUUGAUCAAAUUCAAAAUUUAUAGUGAAAAAAAUCCAAACCAUAGGGGGGGCUGGCCCCUGGGCGCCCCCCUCCCUCCGCCACUGGUAAUAUCCCAUAGGCCUCUUUCUACAAGUAAUUUGAUUUUGUUGGUUGAAAUCAUAGAUGGACAUGAAACCAGGUGCCAGCUAAUUGAUAGGUACUAGCUAAUUUCAGCUAAUUAAGGUGGAUCAAGUUAAAUCUUUUCUAAACUAGCUAGCUAAUGGAUUAGUUGAGUGGAUCCAAACUUGCUUGUCAUGUUCUGUUAAUGUGGACCUCAAUUGCUGCUAAUUCAGAUGGUGGAGAUGAUGGAGGCCGCAUCAACAACUUGUGCCAAUAUUGGUGUGGCAAUAGCCAAACACCACCAAUGGUGCCGAUUCCAGUCUCGGACUACUCAUGCAAGUCAUAUGGACACCCUCUCAUCGAUCAAGCCCACAUCAACGACACAACAGCAUGCAUUUGGACUUUGGAGCAUCCCAUUACACCAUUGGCAAUAACACCGCUAUGAUGAUGAUAAGAGUUCAACGCAAAGGCGGAUUGUACUGUACAGAUGUUAAUGUUAAUUAGCUUUACAAAGAAGAGCAAAUAAAUUAUAUGUUUAUAAACAGAUGGAGUUGUGACGCCGGUGCUCCAAUGCAUGCUAGCGUGCCGUAUCAUCAAUUAUCAGUAACACUACUCUCUGCUGACUGACUGCUAGUACAGGGCUCACUACUCAGUACUCACUCCACAUGAGUCUGGCCCACAUCACAGUGACCGCCCUUAGCUUUCCUGCAGACUCUGCUGUUGCUCCCCAGCUGUUGGUUUCUGCGUCCUGAGCUGAAUGAUCUCCCCAUGACCACUGCAAUCUGCUUCAAUUUGUCGCCACGUGACCUGUUCAGUUCUCCUCCUGCGGAUACGGGAUACGCCCGUAUUCUUGGAUGCCGUAGCAUCUCAUCGAAUCACUGAGAAUGCAUGUGGUAACCAAUUCUCCGUUGUAAUCAAGGAUCGGAGAUGAAGAGAGCAGGGGUUUGCAUGAUGGAUGCAUUCAUUUUUCCCCCAACAAACAAAAAAGCAGACGUCUCGUCGUGUCCGGAGAUCUGCCGAUCCAAUGACAUGCGGAUCUCUCACCUCUGCCACUGCCGAUGCUUUUCAGUGCCACUGCUCUUCGUUCCCAGCCAAUUCAAUCAAUGAACCUGAAGGCCAGCCAUGGCACAAUUGGCAGUAACAGCCGCAUGCUCAAGGUUCCAGCCAUGGCGAUCGAUCUCUUCUCUGCCUUCGUCCACGAUGACUCCACUUUUGCUAUCUGUCCAUGCCUGAUGCCUUCACUCCGUCCUCUCUUCAUGAGUCACGGGCGGACCCAUAGGGUAUGCCGGGUGGGCCACGGCAUACCCUGGGUCCAGCUAUAAGUGAAAUAUAAUAUAUAUUUUAUUUGUAAAAAAAUAACGAUCAAUUUACCUGGUAUACACCCAACGCUUGACGAUUCGGCUACGCGGUGUAACUUGCCUAUGCCUCGAGGAGUCGACGAUAUCCCACCGGGCCUACCCACGUGCACGGCUUCAAUCAAUUUUAGGCAUCGUUGAUGAGUCCAGUUCUCAAUGUGAUUAUAUGGAAAAUCAGCAAGGUAUGGUCAUGCCCGAAACCAAACAAAUGAUGACCAUUUUAGAAGAGAAGUAUAUAUUGGUGUCAUUGAUCAAAUUAGUCAAGAGCUUGAUAAUCGGUUUGAUGGGAUCAAUAUGGAGCAACUUUCUUGUAUGCCAACCUUCAGUCCUUCCAAUUCAUUUGCUUCGUUUGAUGCACAAAAGGUACGUAGAUUGGCUGAAUUUUAUCCUAAGGAUUUCUCCAACAAUGAUUUGCUAAAACUUGAAUUGCAACUUGAUAAUUAUAUUGAUGACAUGCGACGAGAUGAUAGCCUCAAGGGUCUAGACAACAUCGUUGAUCUCUCGAUUAAGCUUGUUCAAACACGAAGGCACAAAGUGUAUGAUAUGAUUUACUUGCUUAUCAAAUUGAUAUUGCUUUUACCAGUGGCAACAGCGAGUGUUGAAAGGGUAUUUUUUGCAUUGGUUAUAGUGAAAAAAAAGUCAAGGAAUAAGCUAGGUGAUAGUGUUUUGGACGAUUGUCUAGUCAUAUUCAUUGAGCGGGAUAUUUUUUUCCAAGUGAAUGAAGAUGAUAUAAUCAAGCCAUUCAUGUCAUUCAAAAAGCGGCGGGUAAACAAAGUAGACAAGUAAUAUUGUAAGCUUCUUUUGCGCUAUAUUUCGAACUAUCCGUAUUUCAUUUGAACUAUUUAUAUUAUGAUUUGUUAUUGUUUCUACUUAAUCUUCGAAUUUAAGACUUAUCAUGUUAUUUAGUGCAUGUAGUUUACCGAAUUAGAAUAUGAUUUUACCAAAUUUUAAAUGAUUUUAUCAAAUUGUAUGAGAUUUUUUUUAGCAUACCCUACGGUACUUACGUCCGCCGCUGACAUGAGUUCAUGUCAUGGCGCACUGCUGACUGGCCGGAGUGAUGGCAGUAGGUCAUGGCACUAGCUGUCGAGCUGCAGUAGAGGGCACUGCUGAGUCUACAGAUUCCGCCGGCCGUACGGCCCCGCGCAAGCCGCCAAGAGGAGACAAGGCUCUGACACCAAAGCUUACGGACGUGGCACUCGCCACCUCGCCAGCUCGGACACCAGCCUCCGGUUGCCGUACGGUCCGCUAGCUCUCCGGCGCAGCUCAUCGUGCGCCGGUGUACAACGACGCAUUCACUAUGGUCUUCAUACUUUGCUAAUGUGAGGUAACGAAAGUCACAUUUCCAACCGCAGUUCACCCUAACUUUAUGCUUCCCUCAUAAACUGUCUUUUCUAUAGCAUCUUGAUGAAUGACGACGACUCGAUCGUGCGUACACAGAUUAGUUGUCAGAGAGGCGAUUAUCAUUUAAAAGUAGAGCAGUCUGCUUAAAGCAACUUACAUUUUAGAUUAUGGGUGCCCACCAUAUGAUCGUUCGCAGAUGCUCAUCAAAAUGAUUAAGUGAAUAUCAAAACAUAGCAAUAGCCCAUAGGUACACUUUCUGAAAAUGCACAAGCUCGUAGAUGCAACGUUCAAGUUCCGCCACUUUGAUAAGGGCUAGCCUAUCGCAUAGCGACGGUCAGACCCAUGCAGGGAUGGAGUUCGGAUUGGGAGAUGGGGGCAGCAAACGCCAGAAUAUUAGUUCUUUUUUCCUAGGCCUGUCUGCAUGGGCUAUUACUCAAGUUUAGCACUUCUACUCAUUAGCACUCCCACUUAAAGAUAUGGCUAAUGGAUGGAGCUAAAAUUCAUAAAAUGUCACUUUUGCCCUUAUCUCCUCACCUCCCCUUUUUGUAAAAAGCACCUACCUCCUAUUUUACACUUUUGGGGUGGACUAAAGUCUAGCACUCCCAUUAGUACUCAUGUUUGGAUAAGCUAAUGCGGGAUGCUGUAAAACUUUAGCACUUUCACCCAUUAGCACUUGGAUCCAAAUAGACCCUUAAUCUAAUGACCUAUAGUAAAAAUAAUAAAGCAUUAGGGGGGCAUGCCCCCCUCCUAUGGCUCUGUCACUUGAUACACAGUGACACACCCACAAGUAGUAUAUAGGUAGGUGCAGGCAAGUGUCAGACCGCACCCAUGGAUUUUAAUAGAUAGGGGUCACCCGCGGAUGCUUAGCUGGUCCCGAAAUAAAUGGUAUUACCUAGUUAAUUUAGUCAUUUGGAGUUUGGAACUUUGGAUUUAUCUUUUGUGUCAUCGUGACAAAUUUGAUUUCGAAUACUCUAUGUGUAGUUUAGUUGUGCUUGUUGCUUACAUAUGUUAAUUUGUGUGCUAAAUCCUUACGGUACGCAUUGAUGCAUUCAUUGUGAUAUGUUACUAGUUAUGCCAUUAGCACAUCUGAUGGAUGGUGUCGCUGGUCACGGGUGCGGGUGCAACAUUUCAUAAACAGGGUACGUGUUCUGAUCCAAGCCGUUGCCAUCCCUUCGGCUCUCCAGUUGAGAGCAUCUCUAGGUCCUGAAAUGAAUGAUUCUGCACGGCCACUGAGGCCGGAUUUGUGGUGUCCUCCUACGACUAUGCCCACAUAUGGCUAUGGAUCCCGCGGGCAGCCGUUACCAUUAACGGCAAGCCUUGCCAGCACUCGUGGUAACUUUUGCUCCUCAGUCCUCACAUGCUAGCAGUAAGAUUUUUUCCUUUUCCAGUUUUUACUGCUACUAGUCUACUACUCUAGUAGUGCUUUUUACUGAAGAUAAUUUGGCCGUGUUCGUUCAGCUGCAGGCUGCUGCGUCAAUCCGCGUCAAGUUGAUGUGAAAUCUUUCUCUGGCGUCGACCUGUGUGCCCUUCUUGCAAUGCAUGCACAUCCCCUCUGUAAGAGUAAACUGUUGCUUCGUUUGAGUUAAAAAAAAUGUUUUUGGAUAAAAACUAAAGAACACAUGGACCGACCAAUCCCGUGCAUGCAUCACGAUCUGCUGCUUCUGCUCACCAUGGCAGCUCGCAUUGUCACUGACCACCUACCUAUUCUUCCUGUAAGCUUGUGAAAUGCACCAUUGCCAGAACAAGAUGCACGUUGAACUUCGUGAAAUGAAACAUUGCCAGCACAAGAUACACGUUGAACAAUGCAAAGUUCAUAGAACUAAAAGAAUCGCCGAAAUCAGGCAAAACAUGCCAAAAAAAAGAGAGAGGUAGUAGAAGCUCCCAGUACCGUGUCAGUAUUCACUAGCCACAGCGCGUCAGUGCAGAGAUGCAAUCAGCAGAUGCAGGAGUGUAAACUUCAGCGGAUGGAAUCAACUCUCAUACGUAUUAAAGGCUGUCACUAUACCCCCAGAAUGUUUAUGGGAACUGAUCACUGGCAAAGUGGCAAACAAAUGCUCAAACCUAACAUUGGAGAACAAGGACCAGCACAGGGCAUUGAAUUUUGCAAAAUAUGCACCACUGGGAAAUAGAACAUAUGUCUACGCCACAAUCAAGUGUCGCUACAUAGCAAAACAAAUAGAACACGGUGUUUACGAAUCCACAAACGAUGUAACUUAGCAAUGUCGUGAUACUGCGAUCAUUGGCAGAUCUGCUCGACAGCCGCCACGAUCUGUGCAGGCUGCACCACGGUGGCGUCCUCCAGAGUUGCGGCGUACGGGGUCGGCACGUCCUGUGAUGACAGGCACAUGAUGGGUGCAUCCAGGUAGUCCCAGAAGUUGUCAAUGAUGGCGGACCUCAGGCUGGCGCCGAUGCCACCCGUCCGCAUGCACUCCUCCACGAUCAGCACGCGGUGGGUCUUCUUGAUGGAGUUACCGAUCGUGUGCAGAUCAAACGGCUUCAGCGACCUGAUGUCGAUGACCUCAGGGUCGUACCCUUUGUUCACCAGGGUCUUGGCAGCCUGCAUCACGUGGUACCUCAUGCGGGAGUACGUGAGGAUGGUCACGUGCUCACCUGGGCGCACCAUCUCAGCCUCCUCCAGGCAGCAGAUGUAUUCCUCAUCUGGGAUUUUCUCCUUCAGGUUGUACAGGAGGACGUGCUCGAACAGCACCACAGGGUUCUCGCUCCUUAUAGCUGCCUUC
rnacentral:lncRNA from 1 species